CCAUUGUACGACUGCUGGGUACAAAUUCUUAGGGAGGCAGAAAUUGAGGUUGUUGGAGUACACUCCAUCCUUCAGAACUGCCCCUUUCUGUUUCCACUUCUGUAUUUCUUCAGGGGCAACUGUAGCCUGUUGUUCCCGCAGAAUUUUCAGGUCAGUUGGAAGAGUCUGCAGAGUAAAUAUGGGAGUCUCUUCAUUUCCGGACACUCUUCUUUCCACUUCCUGUGGUUCUCUUGCAGCUUGUUUUGCAGCUUGAUCAGCUAGAUGGUUGCCCUUUGCUUCAUCUGUGUCCAACUUCCCAUGUGCUUUUAUCUUUAA